CCUACGGGAGGCAGCAGUGGGGAAUAUUGCACAAUGGGCGCAAGUCUGAUGGAGCAACGCCGCGUGAGUGAAGAAGGGUUUCGGCUCGUAAAGCUCUUUUGUUAAAGAAGAACGUGGGUGAGAGUAACUGUUCACCCAUUGACGGUAUUUAACCAAAAAGCCACGGCUAACUACGUGCCAGCAGCCGCGGUAAUA
rnacentral:rRNA from 1 species